GAUGAACGCUGUCGGCGUGCCUAAUACAUGCAAGUCGAGCGAACAGACGAGGAGUUUGCUCCUCUGACGUUAGCGGCGGACGGGUGAGUAACACGUGGAUAACCUCCCUAUUAGAGUGGGAUUUUUUCGGAUAACCGGAGCUAAUACCGGAUAUUUUAUUGAACCGGAUUGUUCACUGGUGGAAGACCGUUUUUCAGUCUCUUAUAGUUGUGUCGUCACGGCAUUCGCAAGGUGGUAAGGUAACGGCUUCACAAGGCAACAAUCCGAACCCUGCCCCAGAGGGUGAUCGGCCACACUGGAACUGAGACAGGGCCCCGACACCGGGGGUGGGCAGCAGUCGGGAAUCCUCCGCGAUGGGCGAAAGCCUGACAGAGCAACGUCGCGUGAAGGAUGAAGGUCUUAGGCUCGUAAAACUCUGUUAUUAGUGAAGAACAAAUGUGUAAUUAACUAUGCACGUCUUGACGGUACCUAAUCAGAAAGCCACGGCUAACUACGUG
rnacentral:rRNA from 1 species